rnacentral:lncRNA from 10 species
AAGAGACACAUAGGGCAAGGUACCAGGGAAGGGGCACAGAGCUUCCAUGCCCUCCCUGGGCGCAUCACUCUACAGGAACCUCCCUGUGUUCAGCUAUCCAGAAGCUCUCCAAACUCCAUCCUCUUGGGCUUUAAUGGAAGCUUCGCAAGCCCUCAAGAUACAUGAAGCUGUGGGCCCUCAGAAACAUCUGGCUCAGCAGAAAUGACUGCAGGGUCUGCCUCUGAAGCCCAGCGUUUCUACUCCAUUUGGGAUAUUCCACACAGGAAGAGAAUUGGAAAUGCUGGAGGUAAGAGCUUUGGCAAUCGCUCUCCAAAAACCCUUGGAAACUCAAGUCAGCUUUGGCUGGGGAAGGGUACACAUUAGCUAUCUCUUCCAUACCCACCCAGUCCUUCCUGUUUCUGUUCAUUCUUCUUAUUCUUUCUAAUCCACACCUGCUCCCUCAGUCACACUUUCAGCCUCUGCCCUCUCCUGCUGACAGAGGGCUGUGAUCUCCCCUCCUCCCCAGGCUCCCCACGUCAGGCCGUCCUCCAGGAGUGGCUAUCCAUCUCUAAGGGCUUUCCGGACUG